AAUUACUUUCCAAUUUCUCUCUUCAAACCCUAAAUGCUUGAGCCGUUUUCCUCUGCAAUAUUCAAAUCGACGAUUUAGAGAUCUGAUUAUCCACGAUUCGAGGGAUGGUAGUGUUUAUAGUUUCAAUAAAGGUUUGUAGGGGCGGUUGUUGGUGGCGGCAAUGAUGGGUAUUGUAGGCUAGGGUUAACGGCGCGAGCCUAACUCUUGUGACUCACUACCAUUCGAACCUUUGGUGGUUGACAACAAUGAGUAUUCUGGGAUUGAUGAGUUAA
rnacentral:lncRNA from 1 species